AUGGAUUAACCUCCCUUUAAUGAAAGCCAACUAAGAUGAUGAGAACAAAGAUCCAAUCUUGUAUUUGAGUCUGUUUGAGAGAACUUUAGAGAUGAUUUUAAUGAUGCCAUUUUCUAAGCUGAUAGGCCUAUAGUCCAAAAUCGUUGAGCAUUCUGCCUUCUUUGGUAUUAAUGUAAUGAAAGUGUUCAUUCUAGAGAUACUAAUGG
rnacentral:lncRNA from 1 species